GAUGAACGCUGGCGGCGUGCUUAACACAUGCAAGUCGAACGAAGCAUUGGCGACAGUUUUUUUCGGAAUGAAGUUGCUUAUGACUGAGUGGUGAACGGUUGGGUACCUCGUGCGUAACCUUCCUUAUACUGGGGGAUAUCAGGUGGAAACGGCUGGUAAUACCGCAUUAGCGCACAAUGUUUCGUGACAUGGUUUGUAAAUCUCGGGAUGUAUGCGAGGUGGCCGCGUCUGAUUAUGUAGUGGGGGAGAUAAGAGCCCAGCAAGGGGAGGAGGAGUAGCCGACGUGGGAGGGUGCACGGCCAAAAUGGGAAUGAGACGCGGCCGAGACUACUACGGGACGCAGCAGUGGGGAAUAUUGCAGAAUGGCGGAAAGUGUGAUGCAGCGACGCGGGGUGAGUGAAGAAGUCAUUAGUGAUGUAAAGCUGUAUCAGCAGGGAAGAUAGUGACGGUACCUGACGAAGAAGCGCCGGCUAACUACGUG
rnacentral:rRNA from 1 species